rnacentral:rRNA from 1 species
UACAGAGGUCUCAAGCGUUGUCCGGAUUUACUGGGCGUAAAGAGCGCGCAGGCGGUCGUUCAAGUCGAGUGUGAAAGCCCCCGGCUCAACUGGGGAGGGUCACUUGAUACUGAUCGACUCGAAGGCAGGAGAGGGAAGCGGAAUUCCCGGUGUAGUGGUGAAAUGCGUAAAUAUCGGGAGGAACACCAGUGGCGAAGGCGGCUUCCUGGCCUGUUCUUGACGCUGAGGCGCGAAAGCUAGGGGAGCAAACGGG